GAUGAACGCUGGCGGCGUGCCUAAUACAUGCAAGUUGAGCGCUGAAGGUUGGUACUUGUACCGACUGGAUGAGCAGCGAACGGGUGAGUAACGCGUGGGGAAUCUGCCUUUGAGCGGGGGACAACAUUUGGAAACGAAUGCUAAUACCGCAUAAAAACUUUAAACACAAGUUUUAAGUUUGAAAGAUGCAAUUGCAUCACUCAAAGAUGAUCCCGCGUUGUAUUAGCUAGUUGGUGAGGUAAAGGCUCACCAAGGCGAUGAUACAUAGCCGACCUGAGAGGGUGAUCGGCCACAUUGGGACUGAGACACGGCCCAAACUCCUACGGGAGGCAGCAGUAGGGAAUCUUCGGCAAUGGACGGAAGUCUGACCGAGCAACGCCGCGUGAGUGAAGAAGGUUUUCGGAUCGUAAAACUCUGUUGGUAGAGAAGAACGUUGGUGAGAGUGGAAAGCUCAUCAAGUGACGGUAACUACCCAGAAAGGGACGGCUAACUACGUG
rnacentral:rRNA from 1 species